ACCAAUAUGGCAGUAUAAUAGAUUAGGAGAGAAUAGAACAGGAGUGGGAGAAACAAAAAGAAUAGUAAAACGCAUAGCGGAUAGAUGGUGCCACGUUAUAUUUGUUACCGUUGAAACGCGAGAAGCGAAUACGUGAGUUUCGUAAUAUUUUUGGUUAUGAAAAUUUUAAAUAUUACAGUUGAAGUUGUAAGAUUUAUGUGAAUUCGUUUAAAAUUAUCGAAAGUUGUUCUCUAAAAUUUAAACUUUUAAUCGACUUUCAACGGAUAAAGGAUAAAAGAAUUCUUCGACGAAAAACUUUCGUUUUUUUCAUCAAAAUUAUUCAACUUCUAUGGACAUCUUCCACAAAGUUCAAUCAUCGACUUUAAUUGCGAUAAUUGGUGUGAUUAUUUCAAAGAUCAUCGUUCUUUGUACAAAAAGAUGAGAGGGGGAAAAAAAAGUAUAUCAAUCGAUCAAAAGAUGCAAUUAUCAAGUAAGCAUCCGUUUCAUCUGGAUCGCUCAACCCGCGUCUAAUUGAGGCUAAUUACGAAUGGUCAUUCGACUGACGGCUUUAUUCAUCGAGAAUGUUUGCAAUUUUCAUUUAACGUGAAAAGAAAUGGUUCCUCUCCAAGAUCAUCAUGCUGAAGGUUAUCAUCGGAUGCGGUUGGCAUAUACCGUUACGAUCCAACGAGAAUUCCUCUGUGUACGAUUCUGUUAAUCUUGGAUAAUUGCAUGUGCAGCCUCACAAAACCCUUUGGAAAUUAUUCUCGAACGAGGUACGAAAUAUCUUUAAGAGGAAACUGUUAUAGAAGCUGACCUGUCGAACCGUGUGUUCAGCUGCUGCAUCGUGUGCUUGUUAAUCAUCGUAAAUUAAUGUGUCGUAGAAUAUGAGUGAAAAGAAAUUGGAAAAUUGCACGAAAUAUGUUAGUUGAUGUACAAGAUAAAACAUUACAACAUUGUAUAUAAGAAGCUGAUUCCACAAAAGAAGAAAAUAAUAAAAAUUGAAAAUAUUUCAAACGUAUAUGUAUUUAUCUCGCAAAUGCAAAUACCGUCGUUAACGUGAAACAACACGAAACGAAAAAUCGACAGGUGGUCUUAAUGACGAUAAGCUACCCCAUUUCGGCCCAACACCGCAAAGAUAAUAAAAGCUCUUCCGUAUAUACAAAGUAAGUACGGUAGCCAGGACGAAUCGCAUCACGUCGACGACUUUGUAAUUUUCGAGGAAGAUAGAAAAGGAAAGCUGCAUGGAUGCAUUUUGCACGAAAGAGAAAGUGGUUCGCCAGAAUCGAACGUAGAAGGCCGGCUAUAAGUUCCGGUGGAUUUAGAUUACGAUCGAAACGGUAUCCGUUUAAUUGGAGGAGAGCUAAUUUAGAAGAAUACGCGAGGGAAUUCAGUAAUGAAUCCGACUAUCGAUAGAUUCCUUGCCCGUGUAUGGCCGACUUCUCAAUGGGAGAAAGUUAUCAAGAAGUGCUCGCUUGGCCUUCCGCGUUAUAAAGGUUCGAAUAGCGAAUGCUACGUUGGACAAAUAUCAAAAUCGCUCUAAAGGAAUUUAUUUAUACCUUUCCUUGUAAGAAGAAGAAAGUAAACCGGAAUAUUUUAAACACUU